rnacentral:lncRNA from 1 species
CUAAAGAAAUUCCAAGAAAUUCCUUUCAAUCACAAGGAACCAAAAAAAACGUAUUCCUUCUAAGAUUUAAAGUAACAGAACGUUACUCCUCUCAAUAAUUCCAAGAAAUUCCUUUCAAUCUCAAGGAACAAAACACAUAUUCCUUCCCAGAUUUCAAGUAAGCAGAACGUUACUCCUCUCAAAAAUUUCAAGGAAACAAAAAACGUUUUUUCACUCCAAAAUUUUAGGAACCAGAAGCAAUUUCGUCCAUGAAUUUCUAUGAAGCAGGGGCAAAUUUCGAUCAAUCAACGAAGGUUUUCCAAUAGAAUAUUAUACGGCGUUUUCCCUACUCCAGGUAUGCUACGGCUAUCCCUGCUUUCUUUUAGCAUGAUCCAUAUGAUACGAAUGAAACAUGCAAAUGCAUAAAUUCCAUGAAUGACUCUAUUCAUAGAAGUAUUAGCAAUAUCUAUGUUGUUGAAUUUCUGUGUGUCAUAAUAUUUUAUCAUCUGUUCAUGGGUCUCAGAAAAAAAUACGAAAGUUGAAAAGAGUUUACUUUAUGAUAUUACUCGAAGGCAAAAUGGUCUUAUGAAGCUCCGAAAGAUUUUAUUAACAUACUUUUCAUGAAUUGCAUUCAUGUGCAUUGACCCUUGACCAGAUGGCGUUAUAUACGCAUAUAUAUGUGUAUGUAUAUAAAUGUAUAUGGGAUAUGAGAAAGGUUAUAGCAUUAUAUACACACCACCACCUGAUCAGCUGGUACAUGAUGAUGAUAUUGCCCACAGUGGCUAGAAAUAUGAUUCAGAUGGCAUUAUAUACGCGUAUAUAUAUAUAUAUAUAUAUAUAUAUAUAUAUAUAUGUGUGUGUGUGUGUGUGUGUGUGUGUGUGUGUAAAUUGGAUAUAGGAAUGGUUAUGGCGUUAUAUACGCACCACCACCUGAUCAGCUAGUAUACGAUGAUGAUUUUGCCCACAGUGGCCGAUAUAAUAUGAUGGGAUGCCCUCAGAGGUUGAUGAUGUUAUGAAACAUGUAAUUAUGCACGACAUGAUAUUCAUACAUAUAUGCAUGACGCUAAAAGUAAUUUAUGAUUUACAAAGUUAUUCAGACUUACCGGUUGAGUCAUGUACUCUAUAUGUCUUCCAUGUCUUUUAUGUAUUUAUUUAUGUGCCUUACAUAUUCGGUACAUUAUUCGUACUGACGUCCCUUUUGCUUGGGGAUGCUCCGUAUCAUGCCCGCAGGUCCAGAUAGACGGGUCGAGAGCCCUCCAAGUAGGCUAUAAACUCAACGGAAGGUGUUGGUGCACGCCAUUUGCUUCGGAGUUGCGUGUUUGGUUAGUAUGAUUUAGACGUAUAUUGUUUGGUAUGGCGGGACUCUGUCCUGACCUUUAUAACAUUCAUGUACUCUUAGAGGCUUAUAGACAUAUGUCUUGUAUGUGAAAGAUUGUACGGCCUUGUCGGCCUAUGUUUUGAGUUUAUAAAGGAUCAUGUUGGCCUAUUAGACCCAUAUGUCACGUGUAUAUGAUGAUGCAAUAAGAAAGAUAUGUUAUGUUGGCACUCGGUUGAGUAAGGUAUUGGGUGCCCUUCGCGGCCCAUCGGUUUGGGUCGUGACAAGCUCUUUCUAGCUCGGGGACUUCGGCAGAGGCUUCCUCCUCAACCUCAUCAAGUCGAGGCAGAGCCGUUUUAGCUCCCACCGGCUUAGUAGUUCCUUGAACUUCGGUGACAGCUCGCACACGGGCACCAGCCCGGAGUCUUAUUCUUCUUCAUCUUCUUCCGCCUCAUCACUUAGAAGUUGAACUGACUCCAAAGUUGGAGGGAUGAUGAUCCCCUUGGGUUUAUGGGCUUGCCUCUUUUUGGGCUUCUUUUCAUCCGAUUUUGUGGAACUCAGAGCCCCUCUCCUCUUUCGCUCUUUCUUUUGCUUCAGAACAGAUUGUUGAGGAAGGAUUUCUUCAUCACCAG